UGGUGGCCAUUGCGAGGAGCCCCAACCCGAUCCCAUCCCGAACUCGGCCGUUAAACUCCUCAGCGCCGAUGGUACUAUGUCUCAAGACCUGGGAGAGUAGGUCGCUGCCA
rnacentral:rRNA from 1 species